GCUACAUUUCUACAAACCUGAUGAAGAAACAAACUCAUCCUGAUCUCGAAUGGCCUGAAGGGUUCAGAGUAACUGGAUCCUCCUGCAAACAUUCUGUGAGCUCUGACCUUUGACCUCCUGGUGUGUUUGACUGAUCCCAGACCUGUGGCCCUGACCCAACAGAACCUGAUGACGUCAUCGCUGAAGCAUGAGACAAAUCUAGAUUCCUGGUGGCCUCUGACCCCUGACCCGUGUGCGUACCGCGUGCCAUGUGGAUCCAGCCGUGAGCUCGGACUUUUCCAGCAGCACCACGUCUUUCUGUCCGGCUUUGGCCAGAUGAUACGCCAGACUGACCCCGACACACCCUCCGCCGAGUCCUUCAGACGCUUCCUCAGAACCCCGGCCGACCCGUCUCUGAGAGCCAGAACACAACCAUCAGCGGCACAGAUCAUCAGAACAU